UACGUAUGUCACAAGCGUUAUCCGGAUUUAUUGGGCGUAAAACGCGUCUAGGUGGUUAUGUAAGUCUGAUGUGAAAAUGCAGGGCUCAACUCUGUAUUGCGUUGGAAACUGUGUAACUAGAGUACUGGAGAGGUAAGCGGAACUACAAGUGUAGAGGUGAAAUUCGUAGAUAUUUGUAGGAAUGCCGAUGGGGAAGCCAGCUUACUGGACAGAUACUGACGCUGAAGCGCGAAAGCGUGGGUAGCAAACAGG
rnacentral:rRNA from 1 species